AAGAGGAGGAUCAAUUGAUCAUUGCGGCUGUGGCAGACGAUCCUUUUCAGACAGCGAAUGAAAUCAUGGAAAAUACCGGAGUCAAUGCCCACCCAGCCACUGUGCGGAACCGGCUGAAAGAAGCGGGCUUGCACAGUCGCGUCGCCGCACAGAAGCCCUUCCUCAACAGUACGCACAAGACCAAGCGACUCCAGUUUGCAGAACAACACGCGUCCUGGACGUCUGAGGAGUGGAAAAGAGUAAUAUUUACAGAUGAAUCCACCUUUUGCACCAAACAAGCCCAAAGGAAGAGAGUCUGGCGGCUAGAAAACGAGAGGCACCAUCCGACCAAUAUUCAAAGCGUAGCCGCAAGCGGCCGCACAACAGUAAAUACCUGGGGAGCCCUCUCGCAUCUCGGACUGGGACCGCUGGUCCGUAUCGAGGGCCACUUGACAUCCGCCCGUUACAGCGAACUUCUAAAGGACGUUAUGCUGCCUUACGCUCGCCAAGGACCCUUUCCCAACGGCAGUUUCAUCUUUCAACAGGACCUUUCCCCUAUACACACGUCUCGCCGUGUCAAGGAGCUGCUGGAAGACGAAAGUGUAGAGGUCCUGCAGUGGGCUCCAAAAAGUCCUGACCUGAAUAUUAUAGAGAAUGUUUGGGGGCGGAUGAAGCAACGCUUGGUGCGGCGUCCGCUUCAAAGUACGAAUGCUGACGGCCUUUGGCAAGCGGUGCAAGAAGAAUGGGAGCGGCUCCGUGAAGAUGGCGCAUUUGUUGCCUCCCUCUACUCUUCUUUACCGAAGAGGAUGGCUGAUGUCAUUCGCCUAAAAGGCUGUGCUACUCGCUACUAGAAGCAGGCGAAAAUGUUCACAGUUACCUUAAGUGCAGGAUGCUUUCCACAGUUCUCACUGUAGUGCGAGUAGCAGUUGAUUUUUGCUAAAUUCUUCUUUCUCCUCCACUCUCAAUAAAAUGAUUCUCCUAACCGCAAA